GGGCCUAUAGCUCAGCUGGUUAGAGUGCACCCCUGAUAAGGGUGAGGUCACAAGUUCAAGUCUUGUUAGGCC
rnacentral:tRNA from 1 species